rnacentral:rRNA from 1 species
AGUGAACGCUGGCGGUAGGCCUAACACAUGCAAGUCGAACGGCAGCACAGUAAGAGCUUGCUCUUACGGGUGGCGAGUGGCGGACGGGUGAGGUAUACAUCGGAAUCUACUUUUUCGUGGGGGAUAACGUAGGGAAACUUACGCUCAUACCGCAUACGACCUACGGGUGAAAGCAGGGGAUCUUCGGACCUUGCGCGAUUGAAUGAGCCGAUGUCGGAUUAGCUAGUUGGCGGGGUAAAGGCCAACCAAGGCGACGAUCCGUAGCUGGUCUGAGAGGAUGGUCAGCCACACUGGAACGGAGACACGCUCCAGACGCCUACGAGACGCAGCAGUGUGGAAUAUGAGGCAAUGGGCGCAAGCCUUAUCCAGCCAUACCGCGUGUGUGAAGAAGGCCUUCGGUUUGUAAAGCCCUUUUGUUGGGAAAGAAAAGCAUCCGGUUAAUACCCCGCUGUUCUGACGGUACCCAAAGAAUAAGCACCGGCUAACUUCGUG